rnacentral:tRNA from 1 species
CUUCCUAUAGCUCAAUGGUAGAGCUACUGACUCUUAAUCAGAAGGUUCAAGGUUCAAAUCCUUGUAGGAAGA